GCUCUUUUAGUACAAAAAGUAUAAUUGGCCUCCAACCAAUAGAUUAAAAUUUUAAAAGAGCA
rnacentral:tRNA from 1 species